UGUAUCCUCAAUGUAAACUCAGAUUUCUUUAUAUAAAUAUGAAUUUAAUCAAACAAAACAUGCAUGUAUUGUGUAACAUGAAGUCCUAUGAGUGUCAUCUGAUGAAAAUAAUCGAAGGUUAGUGAUUCAAUUUAUCUCUAUUCUGGUUUUUGUGAAGCUAUAUUUAGCUGGGAAAAAUGGCUGUGAUUAUUUUUGGUUUUGUGGUGACCUUACAUAAUCGUUUGUAGUGCUUUCGCUGAAAAUCCUAUUUGAAAUCGGACACUUUGGUGGGAUUAACAACAAGAUUACCUUUAAAAUGAUAUAAGACACAUGUAUGUUUGAGGAAUUUUAAUUAUGAGAUUUCUGGUUUUUGAAUUUGGCGCCCUGCACUUGGCUGUUGUCAUAUUGUUCCCGAUAUCGGGACUGCAGCCAUAAGAAGUUUUAACUAGUUAUUUAGCUAAAUAUUGCCUGGUUGGCUAGCUAGCUCACAAGGGACUUUUUUAUUUAUUUAUUAGAUUUUUUUAUUUCACAUUUAUUUAACCAGGUAGGCUAGUUGAGAACAAGUUCUCAUUGGCAACUGCGACCUGGCCAAUAUGAAGCAUAGCAAUUCGACACAUACAACAACAGAGUUACACAUGGAAUAAACAAAACAGUCAAUAAUACAGUAGAACAAAAGAAAACAAAGUCUAUAUACAGUGAGUUGAAAUGAGGUAAGAUAAGGGAGGGAAGGCAAUAAAUGGGCCAUGGUGCCAUAGCAAUUACAAUAUAGCAAUUAAAAACUGGAAUGGUAGAUGUGCAGAAGAUGAAUGUGCAAGUAGAGAUACUGCGGUUCAAAGGAGCAAGAUAAAUAAAUAAAUACAGUAUGGGGAUGAGGUAGGUAGAUGGAUGGGCUAUGUACAGGUGUAGUGAUCUGCUCUGACAGCUGGUGCUUAUGUGACAGGUUAAAGGAAAUACUCAUAGCCUGUUAUACAUUAAAAAGUAUUAGUAAGUUCAUAGUAUGUGAGGAUCUUAAAACAUCUAAGGUUAAGAAGAUCAUGCAUUCAAUAUUAGUUGAUAGAGAUUGAUAACAUUCAUAUAAUUGUGUUAAAAAGUUAAAAUCCGUCAAGCGUACAAAGGGUACGAAUUGUGAGAGGAAUGUGUAAACGUUAUAUUGAUUACUUUAUUUUGUGGUGCCUAAUGGAAGGGUAAAAGUGUUAAUCUGUGAUCUACUAAAUGCUCUUAAUCUAUGAGCCCGAGAUCGAUUGCUCUGGUCUCAACCCAAGUUCCCGGGGAAAUCGCAGUCUUUCCUUAUUGCACUAAAAGUUUUCCUUGCGGAAACAAUACCAUAUCACUCUCGUGAUAAUUUCAGAUAAUGAGGGAGAUAUGAGUCUCCAGCUUCAGAGAUUUUUGCAGUUCGUUCCAGUCAUUGGCAGCAGAAAACUGGAAGGAAAGAAGACGAAAGGAGGAAUUGGCUUUGGGGGUGACCAGUGAGAUAUACCUGCUGGAGCGCGUGCUACGAGUGGGUGCUGCUAUGGUGACCAGUGAGCUGAGUUCAACAGGAGUGCAUCCCUCAGACCAUCCGGUACAUGGACAUCCUGUGCCAGUGGUAUGACAUCCUGUGCCAGUGUGAGCCGAGAGCAACCGUCCAGUUGUAGACUACAGCAGAUCGAGCCUGUGGACGGAGAGUCCAACAGGAGUGCAUCCUUCAGACCAUCCGGUGCAUGGACAUCCUGCGCCAGUGUGAUCCGAGCAUGAGCGUCCAGUUGUGGAGGCUACCAGUAGUGGAAAAAGGACUCAAUUGUUAUACUUGAGUAAAAAUAAGGCGUGACAUGCGAAACAGUCUCACCCCACGAGAAGCAGUACAUGAUCAACGCCAUCCUCAGCAAGGAGAUAUGCUGGAAGUGAUGUACUCUCACUUUGGGGACGACACCCCAUCCAAUGAGUGUGAUCUGAGGACCCUGCUCCACCGACAGCACCAUGCCAGCCUGCAUGCCCCAGGUGGCCUUGUUUUUGAACAAUGUCUGGUACAGGGAGGGUUGCGGUUGUUCUAGCUCAGGUUCAAGGAGACAUGCCAUUCCACUGAACCUUCCCCGGGAACGGUUCCUUAGCCACUGAAGAUCCUCCUCUGUGGGCUCUCGGGACAGAGGGUUGUAGUCUUCGGCCAGGUACAGGUCCUCCACUGAAUGCACCUGGUUGGGCACGGCUGGCUUCCUCCUCACAUUCCACAUCCGUACAACCGAUAUUGUGAACUGCCAAAAUAGGCUGCAUUGCUACACUUAUGAGCUCCACGGAGGCAUUUGCAUGUGGUAGAGAGAAUUACCUGGUCACCUAUUAUAGAGACCUGACAAGUGGAAGGAUGUUAAGUGCCACAUGCCUUUCAAUGCUUGACUUUGAUCACGCUGAAAUGCAUUUGUUGUAAGAAAGUGCUAUAUAAAAAGUUUGAUUGACAUUACAACUGUAGAAUAUUUCAACUGUAAUUUUCAUAAGGACAAGUGCAGUUUUCCCAUAAACUUUUAAUUGAUAACUUGGGAUUUUAUCACUUGACAUCAGUCAGAGUGCAAAGGGUCCUAUAAUCAAGACUGUGUGAAUACAUGUACCACUCUGAAUAAAUAAAUAGUUUUUGAAGCUU